rnacentral:rRNA from 1 species
CUAAGCACUAAAAUCGCUGAUUAAAACUUAAAGAGCAUGGCGGUCACAAAAAAGUUCAGGGGAACUUACCAAGUAAUAGACAACCCACAAGUUACCUUUCUUAUUUUACAGUUUGUAUACCGCCGUCUAAGUAUUACUUAUGGUAGUGCUAAAAUAGAUUACUAGAAGGACAGGUCAUGGUGCAGCUAAUAGAUAAGUUUAGGCGAGUUACAAUAAAAAAUUUUUUUUCAAAAAAUUUUAAACUAUUUUGUGAAGUGGACUUGAAAGUAAUAUUUAAAAUAAAUAUAAUCUGAAUACUUAUUUUGUGGUGC